rnacentral:rRNA from 1 species
CCCCUUUUCUCUUACGGGAGGCAGCAUUGGGGAAUUUUGCACAAUGGGCGAAAGCCUGAUGCAGUGACGCCGCGUGAGGGAUGACGGCCUUCGGGUUGUAAACCUCUUUCAGUAGGGAAGAAGCCCUCUUUGGGGGUGACGGUACUUGCAGAAGAAGCGCCGGCUAACUACGUGCCAGCAGCCGCGGUAAUACGUAGGGCGCAAGCGUUAUCCGGAAUUAUUGGGCGUAAAGAGCUCGUAGGCGGUUUGUCGCGUCUGCUGUGAAAGACCGGGGCUCAACUCCGGUUCUGCAGUGGGUACGGGCAGACUAGAGUGCAGUAGGGGAGACUGGAAUUCCUGGUGUAGCGGUGAAAUGCGCAGAUAUCAGGAGGAACACCGAUGGCGAAGGCAGGUCUCUGGGCUGUAACUGACGCUGAGGAGCGAAAGCAUGGGGAGCGAACAGGAUUAGAUACCCUGGUAGUCCAUGCCGUAAACGUUGGGCACUAGGUGUGGGGGACAUUCCACGUUUUCCGCGCCGUAGCUAACGCAUUAAGUGCCCCGCCUGGGGAGUACGGCCGCAAGGCUAAAACUCAAAGGAAUUGACGGGGGCCCGCACAAGCGGCGGAGCAUGCGGAUUAAUUCGAUGCAACGCGAAGAACCUUACCAAGGCUUGACAUGGACCGGAAAGACCUGAAACCAGGU